UGCAUAUAUGUUGUGGGUGGCACUUGCAAUUUUCUUAUUCUCAUACAAUUUUUCAAGAACUCUCUUUACUUGUCUGGGUGUCACCACAGGAGCCAGAUGUGCCUGGAAAGUACUCCUUCUAUCUGUGAGUGGGGUCCCAUGAUGUAUCAUUGGCAGUUCUUCAUCUACUUCUUGACUUUCAGAUGUGAUAUAAUUUAAGAUUUCUACUGGAUCUUCCUGAACGGGCUGAUAGUCCAGGAGAAAAUCAUUCCCACAGUCUUCAUCAACUUCUUCAGUGGUUUUCUUAAUAUCUGGUUCUGAAUUUGAUGACUGUGCCUUUUCCACCAGAACUUCUCGUAUCUUCUCCACCCA
rnacentral:lncRNA from 1 species